rnacentral:rRNA from 1 species
GAUGAACGCUAGCGGCAGGCUUAAUACAUGCAAGUCGAGGGGGCAGCGGGGUAGCAAUACCGCCGGCGACCGGCAAACGGGUGCGGAACACGUACAGAACCUCCCUCCAAGUGGUGAAUAGCCUUCCGAAAGGAGAUUAAUACACCGUAAUAUUAAAGAGUGGCAUCACUUUCUAAUUAUAGAUUUAUCGCUUAGAGAUGGCUGUGCGGCUGAUUAGGUAGUUGGCGGGGUAAAGCCCACCAAGCCUGCGAUCAGUAACUGGUGUGAGAGCACGACCAGUCACACGGGCACUGAGACGACGGGCCCGACUCCGUACGGGGGGCAGCAGUAAGGAAUA